rnacentral:rRNA from 1 species
GACGAACGCUGGCGGCGUGCCUAAUACAUGCAAGUUGAGCGCUGAAGGUUGGUACUUGUCCCCACUGGAUGAGAAGCGAACGGGUGAGUAACGCGUGGGGAAUCUGCCUUUGAGCGGGGGACAACAUUUGGAAACGAAUGCUAAUACCGCAUAAAAACUUUAAACACAAGUUUUAAGUUUGAAAGAUGCAAUUGCAUCACUCAAAGAUGAUCCCGCGUUGUAUUAGCUAGUUGGUGAGGUAAAGGCUCACCAAGGCGAUGAUACAUAGCCGACCUGAGAGGGUGAUCGGCCACAUUGGGACUGAGACACGGCCCAAACUCCUACGGGAGGCAGCAGUAGGGAAUCUUCGGCAAUGGACGAAAGUCUGACCGGGCAACGCCGCGUGAGUGAAGAAGGUUUUCGGAUCGUAAAACUCUGUUGGUAGAGAAGAACGUUGGUGAGAGUGGAAAGCUCAUCAAGUGACGGUAACUACCCAGAAAGGGACGGCUAACUACGUG